rnacentral:rRNA from 1 species
CCUACGGGGGGCAGCAGUGAGGAAUAUUGGUCAAUGGGCGCGAGCCUGAACCAGCCAAGUAGCGUGAAGGAAGAAGGCUUUCUGGUUGUAAACUUCUUUUAUCAGGGACGAAGCAAGUGACGGUACCUGAUGUAUAAGCCACGGCUAACUACGUGCCAGCAGUCGCGGCAAUCCGUAGGUGGCAAGCGUUAUCCGGAUUUACUGGGUGUAAAGGGCGUGUAGGCGGGAGUGCAAGUCAGAUGUGAAAACUAUGGGCUCAACCCAUAGCCUGCAUUUGAAACUGUACUUCUUGAGUGCUGGAGAGGUAAUCGGAAUUCGGUGUGUAGCGGUGAAAUGCGUAGAUAUACCGAGGAACACCAGUGGCGAAGGCGGAUUGCUGGACAGUAACUGACGCUGAGGCGCGAAAGCGUGGGGAGCAAACAGGAUUAGAUACCCGAGUAGUC